UAAAUAGAUCAAUUGGCCCCGGCCAAGACAGCCUGUCCCUUUCUCAGAGGCGGCGUUGGAGGUCAAGGUCUCCCUCUCAUGAACAUAGUGACGUCCGAAGAACAACCAUCAACCGAAGUCUCAGGCAGACUCCACAGAAGUCUGUCAGAGCUCAAAGGGAUCCCGCAAAUGCAGCCGAGGCAAUGUCAGUGUGUACACCAAAACUGACAAAGGAUGCCUUUCCAAUGUCUGAAAAAAAAUUCCAGAAGAGAGUACUUCAGCUCCUGGUUGAAAUCAAGGAUGCAAUUCAUGUUGAUUCUUCAUCUGAUGGGACAAGUUAUGAAGUGAAGCCGGCAAAAACAGAACAAGAGUUUGAAGCUUUAGAGAAUUGCCUGGAGGACAAGAAUGAGGGAGCAGAACUGGUAAGUUUUCCUUAAGUGGUUGUGGGUCAAAUUUGACUAUAAACUUCUGCUUCAAUCUAGCCUGGCACUUGCC